UUGCACCUUGCUAGGCGUAAAAUUUCCUCUUGUAUCUGUAUAGGGUGGACAAUUAAUUGCACAGAUUGUAAUUAAGGGUUGUUUCUUUAUAUUUCUUGAAAUUUUUACAAAAGUUUUUGUCCAAGUUUUUAUUCGUAACAGAAUUAUAAGUUACUCAAAAUUCUUUCAUUACAUUCCUCACUGCGAAGCGAACGCGUAUUUCGCGUGUGUAAAAAUAAUUCUUCGAACCACUCAUUGAAAAAGCAAAGCGAAAAAACCAGAUAAUAAAUGUUUCACAACUGUUUCGUUGAAUAGGAAAAUGAACGAAAAUAUUGAUAUUAUGAAUAUUGAUUAUCUGAUGGUACUGAAUGCCUGACGUUGCUGUUAUUUCAGAAAUCACAAAGUGUUUGGACUGGCAACGCGGUUUCAUGUAAAUGUGAAUCAUUUUAUUGUUAGAUUGGAAAAGGACGAUAGAAAAGCAACAAAAGCAUACGCCCCAUAUUACAGCAAAUAGAUACUCGCCCAAACAUCCUCUUCUUAAACGUGCAGCUUGUAGACUUUAUAGUAUUUCACUACAUGGUCUAACGCAUUUAGUUAUAUGAGCAAGUAAGUAAAAUUAUUGGGAAUUUGCAAUGAAAAUAUAAGAAUGAUUUGUGAAGAUUUUCCAGAUGUUGGUUAGUCUUACAAGAAAAUUGGUUUCGAAUCGUGGCAGAAUUGAAUGUAUGAAGUAAUAUUCGAAGUCCAGGGUCGUUAGAGAUGCUAAUAAGAGUAUUCAACAGAAUGGCAUGGAAUCUAUAAUCCACAUAAAAAUGACAUGACCAUAUUAUUUUAUACCACAAUCCUGAUUCGGUAAGUAUAAACACACACUCAGUGACAUCAGAUGUGGUUAAUCUUUCUUAGAACUGUUGAAAAAUUGUUCACAUUUUUUUUCAGCUUCGAUCAUCCAUUGAGAAAUCCUAUGCGAAGAACUUAAAAGUUUCACUGAAAGGGCAUUCAGAACAAAAUAGUUAUCAAGAGCGCGUGCAGUUCGAGCUUUACAUGCACAACUUCUCAAAGUGAAUUUAUGUUUAAACUAAAUUCAAAUGAAUAUAACAUUCAGAAAAAAGUUCAACUGAAAAGAGCAUCUGUACUAAUACAAGUGGAUUUCAAAUUCGCAACAAGUUUUGACUUGGUUUGAUGCUAGAUACAUGACCGCAUCAGCUAUUGCGAAAAAACAUAUUUUUAUCAACCAAGAGGUCAAAAUGGUUUGUGGUCACAAAGAUGUAUUGCAAAAGAAUUAGUGUCUCGAUAAUUGAGUACAACAGUACUCAAAUUAGUUUGAAUUGCUGGAAUAAA
rnacentral:lncRNA from 1 species